rnacentral:rRNA from 1 species
UACGGAGGAUCCGAGCGUUAUCCGGAUUUAUUGGGUUUAAAGGGUGCGUAGGCGGCACUUUAAGUCAGGGGUGAAAGACGGCAGCUCAACUGUCGCAGUGCCUUUGAUACUGAAGUGCUUGAAUGCGGUUGAAGACGGCGGAAUGAGACAAGUAGCGGUGAAAUGCAUAGAUAUGUCUCAGAACACCGAUUGCGAAGGCAGCUGUCUAAGCCGUUAUUGACGCUGAUGCACGAAAGCGUGGGGAUCGAACAGG